UUCCUCUCAGUCACUCCUGGAGAGUUUCCAGUACUCUACCAGUCUCGACUACAGGAGGGAGAGUCAAGCAGAGGCAUACCCAUUCCAUUCCUAGCUUGGACAGGGACUAGCAAGUGGAAGGCAAUCUGCUACAAGU
rnacentral:snoRNA from 1 species